GCAAGAAACGUCAGUUCAUGUUCAUCUGUAUUUUCAGGUCAGCUGCCUGCCACCCUACAAAGCCUUCCCAUUUUCAUCUUCUCCGUUUUCAUGCUUUAUGAGAAUGCGAAGCACCGGGAAAAGGACACGCUCUUCAGCAGAAUGACAAGCCAAGCGGGAUGGAAUUUGCCGUAAACAUAUCUUGUGAAGCACCACGAGGUCCACGACAUGAAUUUGAACUGAGCCAAACAUCUAAUUCCUGGACUUAGUCACGGGCUUACGACGCAUCAGAGAUGGACAUGCUUGCAAAAAAGAUUUAGUCAAAGUCGUGUUCGACAUAUCCACUCGACGUCAACCAACAAAAGAAACAUGAAGAGCAAAUAAAGGACAAACACAAGUAACAUGAGAAUACGAAGCAUCGGGAAAACGACAUGGUCUUCAGUAGAAUCGCAGGUAAACACUAAACAUUUUGAUUCUGAUACCUAUAAUUUUCUUAAAUAAAAUAGUCUGAAAUUGUUUUUAUUAUUAUCUAAAAAAGUAUCCACAAUGAAGCGAGAUAUGUAGAACCAGGUCUGUCUAGUUACUUAAACAUCCUUCUCUAACAAUAUCCUUAUUAUCUGCCUAGUUACUUAACCAUCCUUCUUUUUUACUACUCAGCUAUGUGAGAUGAAUUUUGCCGUAAAAAUAUCUUGUGAAGCAUCACUGCUAAAGGUUGUACCUCGAGAGAUCAUGUGGAAGUGAGGCUGUUUAGACUCUUGGGUCCUCGAUGGCUUAUGACAGAUCAACUCGAUCAAUGGCAGCAGCAGUAUGUUGUCGUGUUUGUUAUAUUUUAAUUAAGUUUGAUUUGUUUUAAAUUAUAUUAGAAUAAAAUAAAUCACUAUGUCUAUAGUUAAUAGUGGUGCAACAUAGUUUUUUCUUGUAUAAAAAGAUUGGCUAGGGAUUGACUCAAACAUAAGCUAAUGGAUAUAUUGUGAACCUGAUAUAAAGUUGAAAAAAGGUAGAAAGCUAUCUGCCCUAAAUUAUGUUAUUUUGAGUCAUGUCUAAGGUGUUGUUUGACACAGUUUCGUUCCACGUUUUGUAAUUCUAUUCUCCACCACCUCUACCUAUGUUAGGGAGUAUUUUAAACGGGUUUUAAAGUGUUAAGCUUACAGUCCAAAUCUAACUUUAAAAAAUUGAGAUUUUAGUGUAAAAUAGCCUCCACUACCCCGUUUGAAGA